rnacentral:rRNA from 1 species
AGUGAACGCUGGCGGUAGGCCUAACACAUGCAAGUCGAACGGCAGCACAGUAAGAGCUUGCUCUUACGGGUGGCGAGUGGCGGACGGGUGAGGAAUACAUCGGCAUCUACUUUUUCGUGGGGGAUAACGUAGGGAAACUUACGCUACUACCGCAUACGACCUACGGCUUAAAUCAGGGGAUCUUCACAGCUUGCGCGACUGAUUGAGACGGUGUCGGACUAGCUAGUUGGCUGGGUAAGGGCCCACCAAGGCGACGAUCCGUAGCUGGUCUGAGAGGAUGAUCAGCCACACUGGAACUGAGACACGGUCCAGACUCCUACGGGAGGCAGCAGUGGGGAAUAUUGGACAAUGGGCGCAAGCCUGAUCCAGCCAUACCGCGUGGGUGAAGAAGGCCUUCGGGUUGUAAAGCCCUUUUGUUGGGAAAGAAAAGCAGCAGGUGAAUACCCCGCUGUUCUGACGGUACCCAAAGAAUAAGCACCGGCUAACUUCGUG